UCAUAUAUUUGAUCCAUGUGAGAGAGUACUAGUAGAGAAGCUUGUAAACAAACCUCUUGAUAUGAUCAAGUAUCAAAAGCCUUGCCCCUGGUGCUGGUGGAAUGUUUACUUCUUGCUCUGAUUGUUUCCUUCACCUGAAAGAAGAACAAAAACCCGUGCGUAGCAAACAGCCCAGGAGAGUGCGUGUGCAGGCCUUACUUUCAAGCCUUUGCUCACAAAAGCGUACGCCAACCCACCACCUGAGGCUGAGACCAUGCUGCAAAGUUUGUCAAAACCCAAUCAGAAACAACGUCUGUAACAGGUUUUCAUCAAAUCAAUAUCACCCAAAGAACAAAUCUUGAAGAUUCUCAGACAAGGAAAUAUAAACAGGGAUCAAAAAGUUGAGUGAAAAAAGAAUGAAACUUUACGCAGCCGUAAGAUCAUCUUUGCUUCUGAUUCC